rnacentral:rRNA from 1 species
GACAGCAGUCGCCACGGUAAUACAGAGGGUGCGAGCGUUAAUCGGAUUUACUGGGCGUAAAGCGUGCGUAGGCGGCUUUUUAAGUCGGAUGUGAAAUCCCUGAGCUUAACUUAGGAAUUGCAUUCGAUACUGGGAAGCUAGAGUAUGGGAGAGGAUGGUAGAAUUCCAGGUGUAGCGGUGAAAUGCGUAGAGAUCUGGAGGAAUACCGAUGGCGAAGGCAGCCAUCUGGCCUAAUACUGACGCUGAGGUACGAAAGCAUGGGGAGCAAACAGGAUUAGAUACCCGCGUAGUCCCUGUCUCUUAUAC